GGAGGAUAAGCUCUCGCCACAAGAGGGCGCUGAGCCACAGAGAAAGCCAAGGAUUGUCUGGGAAGCAAAAGCUAGGGGUGAAGGCAAUUUCCGGGGAGCCCCUAAGGAGUCAGCGGAUGGGAGGGACCGACACCCACCCUCCACGGGACAAAUGCACUCACCUCAUCCCUCUUCCUGACAGCCUCUGGGCCUGCCAUAUGGAAAGCUAAAGAGAUGUCAGAUGGAUGAACAUGGCUUUACAUUCUGCCAUAAGUAAGCGUGUGCCCUACACAUCCAGGAAGACACUGACCCCUGAGCACUUGUCAUCGGUGGGGAGUGAGUAUCCUUGUUAGCUAUGGCUAACUUGCUGGAGCCUAGAGUCCCUGCUCUCCUAGAAAAGAAGAAAGGGGUUGUGGGAAAUGUUUUCCUUCCUUCCUUCCUUCCUUCCUUCCUUCCUCCCUCCCUCCCUCCCUUCCUUUCUUUCUAAAAAAUACUUAGUGUUGUAUGAGCAUCUUGUUGCUGACACAUCAGAAGAGGGCAUCA